ACGUAGAAGCUUUCGUAGGGCCCACUGACGCACAGGAUAACUAAAACCACCCCAGUGUUUUAAGGUUUAAGGUUACCGUGCUCUAUUGGCUGAUUGUUGCGGCUUAGUAAUUCAUUAUUAUGAAUUAUUUAUUUAUUUUUUAUCUUUUGCAGUUCUUUACAUCUGAUUAUGUUUACAUGCAAGAUCCUCCACCCAGUCCUCAGUGCCCCCUCAGUGUCCCAUAUGUUUCGUGCUGUUCCAAUUUAGUUCUGUCUCACAGUAAUUUCCUUAUAGUGUGUUACAUAUACAUGGUGAUACAGGAUCUGCCUUUUUUCCUUGUGCUCUCUUCUAUUCCACAAAAAAAUGUCCCAUAUCCAGAAUGUCCUUAUGGAACAGGUCCUUAUGGAGGUCAUGACUAUCAGCACCGAACUGGGACCAGUGUCCUUGAAAAGCACCAGACCUUACUGAUUGUUCUCUCCAUGACGCCACUGAACAUACUAAACCAACAGCACAGAUUUUGUCUAGAACAUAGUGUUAUCAGGGCCUACCCACCAGGAUUGUAUUAAUAAGCUUGUGUUCAUUAGUAGUUAAGGUGGGAAUCCUGCACACGUCUUAAAUCCUUCAGAACUGAGGAUGUCAGAAACCAGCUGAUGAGGAACACGACAAAUGGUCAUGAAAGGCAAAGAAGACGUCCAGUCCACCUGCACCUCCACUUCAAUCUCCCGUCGAGACCCAUCCUCCACUUCCUGCUGAGCCCCACCUUCCACUUGUUCAGGGUCCCGCUCACUCUCAAAGGCUUCAUUGUCCACACCCAGGGAGGUCACCGGCACCAACCCAUUCUGCAGCAGACAUCAGUGACUUAUAUCAAAGAAGGGGUGCAGGAGCUCACCAAGUGCUGGUUGUCGUAGGUCUCAAUCAAGUCUUCAUCUUCUGUGAAAGGUGGUGGUGCUUUGUCAUCCUGCAUCUGUGAAAUCUGGACAUUGGAAGAGGUGCAAGAGGUUAAGAUGAGGAAAAGAUUCUCAAGCAUACAUUAACAACUCAGAGAAUGGCAUCAUGAACAGAGAGGAAGAGCAGGCCUCUGUUCACCACCUCAUCAAAGAAACCCAUGGACUCCAUCUUCAUGAUGAUGUCAUCUGCAAGAAUUAUAACUUAGGAAACAGUUAUUUUGAGGACCCACCAGUUUUAGAGACUUCGCAGCCAUUACGUCCAGGAAGGAGACAGAAGUGAAAUCCAUCACCAAGCUGUGGAUGUUGACUUUAG